rfam:Schistosoma curassoni strain Dakar, Senegal genome assembly, scaffold: SCTD_contig0000674
AUCCAGCUGACAAAUCUUAAAUAGGAUGAAACGUAUGUCCUGAAU